rnacentral:rRNA from 1 species
UACAGAGGGUGCGAGCGUUUAAUCGGAAUUACUGGGCGUAAAGCGUGCGUAGACGGUUAUUUAAGUCGGAUGUGAAAGCCCCGGGCUCAACCUGGGAAUUGCAUUCGAGACUGAAUAGCUAGGGUGCGGUAGAGGGAAGCGGAAUUUCCGGUGUAGCGGUGAAAUGCGUAGAUAUCGGAAGGAACAUCAGUGGCGAAGGCGGCUCACUGGACCGGAACUGACGCUGAGGCGCGAAAGCGUGGGGAGCAAACAGG